UCACGGUCGCAUACACCACCCCGGUUCUGGUGCCCGCUGCCCUGGGGCGCUUGGGACUCCCUCCCCUGUCCCCUCCCCACGCUCAGCCUUGGGGCUUGCCUGGUUUCCUAGUCAGACUCAGCCUCCACGGACCCUCCCUCGAAGCUGCUCACACCAGGUCCUCUGUCUACGUACGUCCAAACUCCUGGGGCUGACCGAGUUCAAGUCAUUUUCCCAGAAGUACUACAGCGCCCAAGGGCAAGUUGGAAGCAGUUGGAUACCUUGGUACCGGAGUGUCUGUGCUCCACGGGCCCACGGACACUCCAUCCCAGCUCCUGCCUGGUCAAGAUAUCCGACUCCUCUCCUUAGUUUCACAUUUAAGACCCUCAGUGACUUGACCCCAUGUGCCUUUCUCUCUCUCCCUCCUGAAAGAAGACUCUGGAAAAAACAGCACUUUUCCUUUCUCAUAGAAGAUAUUCACACUUUCCUGUCUCAGAGGCUUAUAUUUUCUUUUAUUUUAUUUGGAUUUCUUCUGUCUGGAGUAGACUCUUUCCAUAAAUGACAACUCCACUCUCCCCACUUCAACCCCCAUACGUGCUUACCAUUUCAGAGCAGCCUCAAAUGCCAUUUCCUCCCUCUCUAGCUGAAGACGAUUGCUUCUUCCUUUGUGCUCUCCUAGUCCAAGGCUUUAUCGGCUUCUGUAACCUGCCAUUUCUCUCUCCCGUUUCAUUUUGUAUUCCAGUGUUUUAUGUAUUUGUCUUAUUAAGUCAUGAACUUAACUUAUUGUCUUAUUCAGACAUCUGAGUCGAGACGAUUCCUUUAAAGGAUGCUGAGCACACUUUCAAGCUCAGGUGAUAUCAAUAAGGGUAUUGUUCCAAAGUGUCUAAGACGUGGUCUUCUGUCCUCAAAUUACUGGAGGACUAGAGGGGGAGCCAGAUACCUUGUUUAUGCAAGGCGACAGAGUUCAGGACAGGGUGAUGUGUUUGCCUGGAGGAGAGAGACACUGAUUCUGCCUGUGAAGGCGUUGGAAGCGGGAUGGGUUGACGAAGUUCUGCCUGGAAGCUGUCAGAGUGAGGAGAUCUCAUUACAAGAAAGUGUAAGACGAUGGGAGGCUGAAACAGGGCAAAGAUGUCCUCUCCAUUUUCGAGGAGAAGAGACAGAAAGGCAUAGAUGGCAAAGAAGAGGGGUAAGUACAGUUUCACAGAAACCAAGGGAAGAGUAUGUUUCUGUAGGAAUGGAGUUAGAAUCAGCACCAAAAGUUAAGUAGAGAGAUGCCUUUGAUACAAGGUCAUCCUUACUGCCAGACUUUUUCUGCGGUACACGGGCCUCUCACUGCUGUGGCCUCUCCCGUUGCAGAGCACAGGCUCCGGACGCGCAGGCUCAGCGGCCAUGGCUCACGGGCCCAGCCACUCCGCGGCAUGUGGGAUCCUCGCGGACUGGGGCACGAACCCGUGUCCCCUGUAUUGGCAGGCGGACUCUCAACCACUGCGCCACCAAGGAAGCCCUACUGCCAGACUUUGCAGGAACUACAGGAGGGACCUAACCUGAGAACAAAGCCGCCCAAACAGACCAAGACAGACUCAUACAGAUGGAAGACAAUGUGAGGACACAGAGAGAAGGCAGCUGUCUACAAGCCAAGGAGAGAGGCCUCUGCAGUAACUGACCCUGCCCACACCUUGAACUUGGACUUCCAGCCUCCAGAACUCCGGUGCUCGAGAUGCUCCAGCCCAGCCUGUUUAUCUUGUGAGCUGCGGCAGCUCCGUCCCCGUGUGAUUACAUCUUUCCUCGGUAAUGGGGUUUUGACUGGCCUUUUGUAUAAUGCCAAGCCACCAUGGGACUGGAAUAUUCUCCCCUUAUUUUUAUCGGGCGCUUUUAUUUCCUGAGCUGUUUUGUUAAGUGUGCCUGUUUCUGGUUUUGCUCCUGGUCAGGAAAGGGGCCCAGGAUUCAGGGAGAAGAUCAGAUGCCCUGGUGUGUGAACUGGUCUUUCAAAGAACGAAGCAGGAGUUGAUCACCUGCUGAAGCUCAGGGCCAAUGCGGAGCUGCCUCCCAAGAGGCCAAUCAAUUUCAAUUAAGGAGAUUAAAAGCCCCGAGCGCAGGGAGGGCUGGUCACGGGCUUCUGAAUGCCUUGCUUCUCCAGCAGCCUGAGAGCAGGCCAUGGGCCCCAGAAGCGCUGGACGGUGUCCUAUGGGCCAGUGUCAAGAUGGCAGUGAGGGGUCAAAUGCAAAAGGAGAAGCUGGCUGAAGGGGCUCGUGAUUCUUCAGGGGCCCUAGUGGCAUUUGGGGCAGGACGGACCUGUCAGUGUCCUCAGCCCCAUCAAGUAUCCAGUGUCCCUAGUCACUGAGCUGUCCCAACUCAACCCAGCCCAAUCCCCACCCCCGCUUCCUGGUGGGACCACCCUGGGCUCCCGGCAGCUGCCUCUGAUCUGCUGUGUAGGUGAAGGGCAGGCCUUCUGCGGCUUCCGGGUGGAGAGCUGGUUCUCCUCGUCUGGACCCUCCUUCUCCACUGGGCAUCCCAGAGGCUCUGUGUCUGCUACCUUUCCGAGCUGCUCGGGCAUCCUAGAGGCCACACCCCCGAGGGGUAAGGGCAGAGGCCAGAGUGGGACGUCUGGUGGAGGAGAGGGGCUUUGGCAUCACACAGACCCAGGGCUGAGCCCGCCUCUGCCCCUUACUGGCUCUGCGUUGGCCCUGAGUCAGCACGUGACCAGCCUGUGCUUUUUUUUUAAAAAACCAGUGGACACCCCAGGGCAUCCAAUCUGUGCCCAGGCAACCAAGUGAGCCUCACUUUCCAUGUUUAUAAAAGGGAGCUCUCCACCCCGGGCUCACAGGAAGAACGGCCUGUACCUACAGUGUCUGAUGUCCCCAAGCCCCCUCUGAUUGUGGUGGCCCAGGGUAGACAGGGGACCGGAGGCAAAAAUUACACUCAGCUCCCCAGACCUGGAGAUUUUUGUUCAGAAGCCAAUAAAUCAACAGCAUCGCGAGGAUUCGAUGCACGUGCUUUGUACGCUGUAAGCGCUAGGUAGGGGUCGAAGGGCGGGGGCGGGAGAACUGGGGCCGUGGGAAGAGAGUGCACAGGAUGCAGGGGAGGAAGGAGGAAGGAACCUCCAGGAGGGGGAGCGGCCUGAGGCUGAUGGGAACCACGGUGUCUGUUAGGCAGGAAAGAGAAGCCAGGUCCAGCUUCGCGGGCAGCAGCAACUACAGAGACAAGCACAGACUUUGCUGGGAAGCCCAGGAGGCUGAAGCCGCCGUCCCCCCGGCCCUCGGCGGUGAGGUUCCCUCGAAGGACUGGCUGUUCGUCCGGGGGGGUCUCUUCCUUCUAUCGGCUGCUUACCCUUCUGGCUACUUUCCUAUUAACAAGACAGCCUGGGGAAGGAAGGGGGUGGGGAGGGAGGCUCAUUUCAGGCCAUUUGGCUUCUUGUUUAAUCUAAAGGACAGGAUGGCCACUGUAGAAAGUGACCUUAUCAAGAAGGAUGGGGUCACAGAGCUCCAAACCCUUGUGGGGAGCCAGGUACAGGGCGGGUCACAGACUUACCCAAGGUCACCCUCGUUAACAGCAGGGCCAGUCUCCUGCUGUCCUGCUACACCCCCAGCCUCCCGGGCCUGCUUUCAUCCCUGACCUACUUCUCCCAGGAUAAUUGAGAAAUGAGUGAUGGGAGCUGCAGGCUUCUGCUUGCUGUCGAGAGCUGGGUGGCUGUUCAUAAACUUUUAAAGCAUCUGGACCUUUCUCUAACACAACAACAAAAAUCAGUCUCAGGCACGUUGCGUUAUAUAAAAAUGGUCUUAUUCUUGAUACAAAUUUAUUUCACAAAUGCAGAAAAGUGGAACGUACCAUUUAUACCGAAGAGGAGGAAAUGAUUGCUAUAAGGAGAUUUAAGGUUACUAAGAAUGGGGUAGGAGAGUUUCCAAAAGGAAUCCCACCUCGAGGUGGGACUGGCUUUGUGGGAGGGAUGGGAUUAUGACCCCCAGCCCUUCCUUCCUGAGAUGGAGACCUGAGGGAUGGCACGAGGGCAGGUUGUGGCCCCCAAGUUAGGCAGUAGGAAGGGGAUGGCGUGUGAUGUGUCCUAGGACCUGCCUUCAAACCCAGCACCUUGUAGGGACAGAUUUGUGUCCUGGGGAACUGGCUUUGUCAUGUCAUGUCAUGGGAACCCUGCCAAUUUUGUUAAGGACCCGAGGGAGGAAAUGCUGCCAGUAAAGGAAGCACCAGACGGCAGGAGGCUCAGCCUCAGCAACAGGGCCUUGGGUUGUCAGUAGCAGAGCCAGAGUCUGUCCGUUCGGGUUGCUAUAGCAAAAUACCACAGACUGGGGGGCUUAAACAACACACAUUUAUUUCUCACACUUAUGGAGGCUGGAAGUCUGAGAUCAAGGUGCCAGCAGACUUGGUUCCUGGUAAGGCCUCUCCUCCUGGCUUGCAGACGGCCACCUUCUUGCUGUGUCCUCACAGGGCGGAGAGAGAACACUCUGGUGUCUCUUCCUCUUAAAAGGGCUCCAAUUCCAUCAUGGGGGCCUCACCCUCAUGACCUCAUCUAAACCUAAUUUCCGCCCAGAGGCCCCACCCCCUUAUACCAUCAUACUGGGGGUCAGGGCUUCAACAUGUGGAUUUUGGGGGGGGACACAGACAUUCAGCCCAUAACACCUGGGCUCCAUGCCUCCCCAUCAUCUCUUUGUCUCCCUAUUCAUUUAUGCUGGCCUCUGAGCAGUGCUUCUCAAGGUGUCCAUGGUAAGGAACCAGUUUUUUUUUUUUUUUCUUUUGGCCGCCCCCCUCAGUUUUCAGAAUCCUACUUCCCCGACCAGGGAUUGAACCAAGGGCCAUGGCAGUGAAAGUGCCGAGUCCUAACCACUGGACCGCCAGGGAAGUCCCAAGGACCAGUUUCGUUAUUUGCAAUGAAGUAUGAUGUGUGCUGAGAAAAAUGAGAUGAUUGUAUGAAAUACAAGCUCAUUUUUUUUUUUAUGAUUGGGUUCCAUGCCCUAGCAUUGCUGUUGAAUUGGCAUGAAUGCCCCUGAAUGCUCCUGCUUGCUUUCUGUCUCCAUCUCAUUCUGGAGCAGGGACCGAACCUUUGAGGGCCUCCUGCUGCAGACCACCCUUUCAGUGGCGCUGUUUAGAGCUCCAUAGAAAGUACGCCAUCAGCCAUGGAGAGGUGUUAUCUGAAGCUUCCAGAGACAAACUGUCAUGAGCCCCAGCUCAGCAAGGUCCUCACUGGGCCUUUUCACCUUUGUUAUCUUGGGAUGUGUGGGGUCUGUAAGGAGGAUGGUAAUCUGGUUGCCUCUCUCUCAAUGGCAUUCUGAGGUAGCAGAAGCACAGGCCUGAGUCAGAGAGCGGAAGGCAAAUCUACCUCCCCCACUUGUGAGCUGUGUGAAUUUGGGGUGAGUGAUUAACUGGUAUGUGCCUCAGUUUCUCCAUCUAGCAAAUGGAGGUGAUGGUAGCUUCCCCUCAGGGAGCUUCCCCUCAGGGAGGUGAAGAUUAAGUGAGACGUGCCUGAACUAGGCACGGUGCCCCAUCCCUCUCUCUUCCUCCUUCCUCUGAAGAAGGGCCCCAGUGGAGAGGUAGGACUCUGCCCCAGGGGAGAGAGGCAUGCACUUGACAAGAGCAAAGGGUCGUCUUUCACAAAAAUCACAGGAUGUCCAAAAAGAGGGUCUGAGUCAGCACAACUGGGAAUCCAGACAGGAAUGAAGAUUUCCCUGGAGAAAAUUUCCCCAGCAAGAGCACUGGAGCAAGAAAGGUCGGAUGUCAGCUCAACCUCAGACCGGUUGACCAGAUAGCUCAAAUUUCAAAUCCUGCAUUCAGAUUUUCUGGGGGAUGAUGCUCUGACCAGAGAGGAGACUGACCUCCGUGGUAUCUAACAUAAAUACGACGCAUGUGAGCACCAAACAGCUGGUAUGUCUGUGGUUUCUGGGUUUCGCUCAGUAAGCCUCCAAAGCCCGAUCUUGGGGCAUUGAGAUGAAUGUCACGAGACCCGGGGCCUGACACUCAUCAGCAGCAGAGUGGCAGCAGAGGGCCCUGUAUUCGUUUGCUCAGGCUGCUGUAACGAAGUCCUGCAGACUAGGCCGCUUAAACAACAGAAAUUUCUUGUCUCACAUCUGGUGGCUAGAAAUCUGAGAUCAAGGUGUGGGCAGAGUUGGCUCCUGCUGAGGGCUGUGACAGAAGGGUCUGUUCCAGGCUUCUCUCCUUGGCCUGUGGUUGGCUGUCUUCCCCCUGUGUCUUCACGUCGUCUUCCCGCUGUACGUGUCUUGUGUCCCAAUUUCCCCUUCUUAUAAGGACACCAGUCACAUUGGAUUAGGGCCCGCCCUAGUCAUGUCACUUUAAAUUAAUUACCUCCUUAAAGGCCCUAUCUCCACCUACAGUCACAUUCUGAGGUCCUGGGGGUGUAUGGAUUCAACGUAUGAAUUCUGGGGCCAAUUCGGCCCGUUAGAGCCCUUGAACCAACUGGUCUCAAUUUCACCAGCAGAGAGAUAAUGGGUGCGCCUGUGGUUUUCCAGAUUUCUCCUGAUUUUAAGCAGAUUCAGGUUCAGCCCAGAAUUGUGCAUCAACCUGCCACAUGCAGCUGAAUGUGUGACUUAGGCCAUGUCAUCUUUCCAGGUUAAAAUUUAUUUAUAAAGCACAGAUAAUGAAAAUAACAUCUAUUUAUCUCCCUAGGUGUUCUGAGCCUUAAGUUACAGAUGCAGGGGUGAUGCGUUACAAAACCAAACAAAUCAGUCCUUAGGACAGGCGACUCAGGCAAAUAAACCGUCACCACCGCAACAAAAGAAGCUUUCAAACCCACAAGACAAGACAAGAUUGUAACGCCUUCCUAACAACAUUGCUUUAUUGACGCAAGGCAAGGAAAACGACAUUAAAUUCUAUUGCUUCUCUUUGAGAUCUAAUAAUAUGCUUUAUUCAGAUCUUAUUCACAUCCCUCUUCUUCCACGGGUCUAUCUCAGGAGCUGACAUUGGCCAGUUACAAAACAGAAUUGGUUCUGCUGUCAUUGGAAGUCACAGAGGCGAACGUGUUUUCGAACACAAAAUCUACCAUGCUUUCUUUGGGAAAUAAGGCACAGCUGGAAAAAAAAAUCUCACUGCAAAACAAAAUUGAAAGCAUGGCUAACUUGAGAUUUAUUUGAUUAGUCUUUCUCUGGGCUAAUCAGUUUUAGAACCCAUUCCUAUUGGCACCAAUGCGCCGAUAAAAUAUCCAGCAGGAGAGAAGUAUCACAUCACUCAGAGAAACAAGGUUGUUCUUUUUUUUUUUUUUCCGGCGCCGGGGCCCCUCCAGAGCCGGCAGCCUCAGUGAGGCCGCCCUCCCCUCGGCCUCCGGGGCACUUCCGUGGCGGCGGAGGGAAGAGACCCCGAGCUGCGGGAGUUCCAGCUCUGCGGAAACGCGGGCUCCGUUCUGGGCGCAGGGGGUGGGACCCGCUUGUUCAUUUUUUAAAAAAGCAUUGAAUCAAUGUUUACACUGCUGAGUCAAGUUAUUUAUACAUAUGCUAUAGGUUUUGCAUCUCCAGAAUAUGUUUGCAUUAAGAGUAUGAUAAAUUGUACCUGACUUACUUGUGAAAAAUCAUCUUGAGAAAGGUUUCUUUUUCCCUGGGAAAAUAUGGAAAUGACACAUGGUGUGUACAGCCAGAAACACUCAGCAGAAGGAGAGGCGGGUUUUUAGCUGUCACAAUGGAUGGUUAAGAAUUUCGGAUUUGGGUCAGUGUCAUUACGCUCAAGUCACUUCACCUCGAAACCUCAUUCUUCAUCUCCAGAAUAUGUUCCAAACUCAAUGUUUUCUGUAACUAUUCAAUAGGAUAAUACGUGCACAGAGUUCGACAUUAACCCUCCCAGAGGCCAAUAAGAAUCCAAUAAAUGCCAACUUCUCUAUCAUAUUCUUACAGAAGAAUGCUUGCCUGCUUUACCUUUCGUCUGUGGAAAAAUCACAAAAAGGAUUAAGUUUGUUGAAAAGAAAGGUGGGUCUUGGGCCCCCUUAGCACACGUUUUCUCCAUCCUUUCUAAAAAGUGAUGCUAACAAGCGAACAGGUGUUAUAGGGAGAAGGUGGAGUAACCAGAACAUUCCUACGUUGCUGGUGGGAAUGUUAAAGAGUGUAGACCUUUUGGAAAACUCUUUGGUGGUGCCUCAAAAGUUAAACAGAUAUGGCCCAACAGUUCCACUCCUAGGUAUAUACUCAGGAGAAUUGAAAACAUGCAUUCAUACAAAAACUGGUUCAUAAAUGUUCACCGCAGGAUUAUUUGCCGUAGUGGAAAGGUGGAAAUACACAGCUCAAGUGUCUAGCAACUAAUGAAUGGAUAAACAACAUAUGGGACAGCCAUGCCAGGGAAUUUUAUUUGGCAACAAGGGACAGUGAGGUACGGACACAAGCUACAACAUGGAUAAACCCUGAAAACAUGAUGCUGAUGGAAAGAAACCAGUCGCAAAAGGCUACAUACAGCAUGAUUUCAUUCAUACGGAACAUGCAGAAUAAACAGCUCUAUAGAGACAGAAAGUAAUUCGUGGUUGCCUAGGGCUGGGAGGGAGGGCAGGAAUGGGGAGCGACCGCUAAUGGACACAGGGUUUCUUUUUGGAAGGAUGAAAAUUUUCUGCAAUUAGAGAGUGAUGAUGGUCAUACAACUUUGUGAAUAUUCUCAGGACACUGAACUGUACCUUCUAAAAUGGUAAAUUUUAUGCUUUAUGAAUUGUAACUGGAAAAAAAAAUCAAUGAAUGCUUAAUGUGGAAAAUAAGAAAACAAGGAAACAAAAAUUGUCAUUGUAGCAUCCAGAGAUAAGCACUGCAAAUGCUUUGAUGUAGAUCCUUCCAGACUGAUGCAAAUAUAUACAUUUAAAAAAUAAAAUAAAAUGGGAUCAUACCAAACAUACUGUUGAGUGAAAGGUGUUUUUUUUUUUUUUGUAUUACUGUUACUUUUCCCCUCGAUAUUAAGAAACUGCCUCUCUAAACAUAGGCGGCAUCCACCUCAGAGUCUUCUCAAAUGUCUUGCCUUUCCACUUUCCUCGGCCAAGCCGUGCUUCUUCUCUUUCCAAAGCUCUUCUUAGGACUUUUCAAGCGAAUCUAUUCGCCUUGGAUCACCAGAGUGCUUUCAGUUGCUUCCUGUCACAGCUUGACCUGUUACAAGCUAUUUCAUUCAUAUCCAUGAUUUCAGUGGAAUUGUUCCCUAAACCCAUAUUUCUACCUUGACCUCUAUUCCAUACACUAGUCCUGCAUCUCCAAAUGCCUACUGGAAAUUCCCACUUGAACAUUCAUCACUGACAUUAUCAUAAGACUAAACUCGAACUCAUUAUAUUUUUCAAUGCCCCAGCCAGGCACAGCGGAAGAUUUGAAUUUUGAAGUGGACGUUCAUGUCCACACUUGACCUUUCUCAUUCAAGUCAAGCUUUUUAGAAGCCCUGGAAACCUACUCUGGCUAACUUAGAAAAGGUAGGUAUGGAGGGAGAUGGGGUAGCUCACACAAUAGGCAGGGGGGAAGGCCGGGGAACCAGAUUUGGAAAAAGGGCAGGAAAAUGGCAUUCCGGGGGCUGCACGGCAGUGACCACAGCCAGGUCGGCCCCCGAGCGAGGUCUGGGCCGGUGCCUGCUGCUGGUACAGGCAUCCCUGCUGCUGCUGCCGGGCAUGCUAAUGGUCCCGCGUCACACUAGCAAUUGCUCAGAGUGAAGAGAGCAGUCAGAUAUGGGACAGUGUAAAGAAAAACAAGUGCCUAUCCACAUAGUCUUGGUUUCCUUAAACCAAGAAAAAUGGAGAUCAUUUUCCUAACUACCUCAUGGGGUUGUAAGAAGGUCAGCUGGUAUUUUGGAAGACACUUUGUAAACCACGAGCCCAUCCACAAGUGUUUCUACUAAGAAGUGAGGUUUUCCUUCCAAUCUCUGUUCUGUUCCUGACGGCGUACCUCUCCUCCCCCUCAGGGUUUCCAUAUCCCCUCAUGGCCCCCAUAUCCCCUCACUGCCUCCUCUUGGCUGAAAAAAAUGCACAACAUGAGAAUGGUGAGUUAAGUUUUAUUUGGGGCAAAAUGAGAACGAUAGUCCGGGAGACGGGAUUUCAGACAGCUCUGAGAAACCGCUCCAAAGAGCUGGGGGGGAAGGUCAGUAUAUAUGUGAUUUUGGUAAAGGGAGUACAUGCAGUCAAGCACAUUUUUUUUGUAGAAGGUUUCUGCUAGUCUCGUGAAGGUUACUGCUAGUCAUGAGGUGCAGACGUCACCAUGAAG